rnacentral:pre_miRNA from 1 species
AGCUAUUCGAAUCCGUGCUGAGAUUUCGUCACACGCCAACCCGUUAGGGUUGAUCAGACUUCCAAGAUAAGUGAAGUU